rnacentral:rRNA from 1 species
UACGAAGGGUGCAAGCGUUACUCGGAAUUGUUGGGCGUAAAGCGCGCGCAGGCGGUUUGUUAAGUCUGGUGUAUAAACCUUGGGCUCAACUCAAGGAGGCACUGGAAACUGGGAGACUGGAGUAUAGGAGAGGAAAGUGGAAUUCCACGUGUAGCGGUGAAAUGCGUAGAGAUGUGGAGGAACACCAGUGGCGAAGGCGACUUUCUGGCCUAUAACUGACGCUGAGGCGCGAAAGCGUGGGGAGCAAACAGG